rnacentral:tRNA from 1 species
GAAAUAUACAAUUUAAAAGCUUCUAACUUUUUAAUAAAUGAUUAAAGUUCAUUUAUAUUUCU